AGAGUUUGAUCCUGGCUCAGAUUGAACGCUGGCGGCAGGCUUAACACAUGCAAGUCGAGCGGUAACAGAGAGUAGCUUGCUACUUUGCUGACGAGCGGCGGACGGGUGAGUAAUGCUUGGGAAUAUGCCUUUGAGUGGGGGACAACAGUUGGAAACGACUGCUAAUACCGCAUAACGUCUACGGACCAAAGGGGGGGAUCUUCGGACCUCUCGCUCAUUGAUUAGCCCAAGUGAGAUUAGCUAGUUGGUAAGGUAAUGGCUUACCAAGGCGACGAUCUCUAGCUGGUUUGAGAGGAUGAUCAGCCACACUGGGACUGAGACACGGCCCAGACUCCUACGGGAGGCAGCAGUGGGGAAUAUUGCACAAUGGGCGAAAGCCUGAUGCAGCCAUGCCGCGUGUGUGAAGAAGGCCUUCGGGUUGUAAAGCACUUUCAGUUGUGAGGAAAGGGAUGUAGUUAAUAGCUGCAUUCUGUGACGUUAACAACAGAAGAAGCACCGGCUAACU
rnacentral:rRNA from 1 species